rnacentral:lncRNA from 1 species
AAGGGCCGCAUCAGUGUCACCUUGGAUCUGGCUUCAGCAGUUGUAUCUGUCCUGUAUCUCCAGUUGUCAUCUGUGAUUUGGCAUCUUCACAGAUAAGUUCCCUGGUGACAUCCCUGGAACAUGGAGACCACUUCUUACUCUCAGUUCAUCGCAGCCUUCUCUGUACCAGUUGUUCUUCCAUGUGGCAGCAUCAGCGUCUCACAGAACUUACUGCAGAUUCUCAAGCCUCACCAGGGCUUAGGACUCUGAGACUCUGGGAGAAACCCCCCGUGUUUCCUAAAGUCCUUCAGCCUAUUCUGUGCUCUCCUGAGAUCAUCUGGUCUACCUAAGUCACAUCAGCAAUGACAGUGGACAAAACCAGGAUGAGACAAAAACCAAGAGAAGCUUCAACAGUCUUUUUUCUCACUACUCUCUCAAAUUGUCUUCCUGUCUUCCUCCUCUUCCUCCAUAUCGACCUGGAAAAUUGUUAAGAAUGUGGAUUUCA